ensembl:snRNA U1 U1 spliceosomal RNA
AUCCGUAACCUGACAGGAGAGAUGCCACGAUCAAUGAAAGUGGCUUUCCCUGAGUGAGGGGCAUCCAUUGCGCUCCAGCUGGGCUGACCCUUGCAAUUUCCCCAAACGCAGGAGACAUUGCUGCAUAAUUUGUUACUUUUGUGUAGUAUAUUCUGUAGAGUUCAU